GACGAGGGGGGCUAGUGUUAUUCGGCAUAAUUGGGCGUAAAGGGCAUGUAGGCUGCAAUUUAAGUUUUAAGUCAAAAUCCAAAGCUUAACUUUGGCAUACGGCUUUCAAUACUGAAUUUGCUUGAGUUAUAUUAAGGAUUGUAGAAUUUUUUGGAGAAGCGAUAAAAUGUUUAAUCUCAGAAAGAAAUACCAACGGCGAAGGCAGCAAUCUAGAUAUAUACUGACGUUGAUAAUGCGAAGGUAUGGGGAGCAAACAGG
rnacentral:rRNA from 1 species